CGGAGUGUAGCUCAGCCUGGUAGAGCACUGCCUUCGGGAGGCAGGGGUCGGAGGUUCGAAUCCUCUCACUCCGACCA
rnacentral:tRNA from 9 species